UACGUAGGUGGCAAGUGUUGUCCGGAAUUAUUGGGCGUAAAGCGCGCGCAGGCGGUCCUUUAAGUCUGAUGUGAAAGCCCACGGCUCAACCGUGGAGGGUCAUUGGAAACUGGGGGACUUGAGUGCAGAAGAGGAGAGUGGAAUUCCACGUGUAGCGGUGAAAUGCGUAGAGAUGUGGAGGAACACCAGUGGCGAAGGCGACUCUCUGGUCUGUAACUGACGCUGAGGCGCGAAAGCGUGGGGAGCAAACAGG
rnacentral:rRNA from 1 species